GAUGAACGCUAGCUACAGGCUUAACACAUGCCAGUCGAGGGGAAACGACAUCGAAAGCUUGCUUUUGAUGGGCGUCGACCGGCGCACGGGUGAGUAACGCGUAUCCAACCUGCCCAUCACUUGGGAAUAACCUUGCGAAAGUAAGACUAAUACCCAAUGACAUCCCACGAAGACAUCUGAAUGGGAUUAAAGAUUUAUCGGUGAUGGAUGGGGAUGCGUCUGAUUAGCUUGUUGGCGGGGUAACGGCCCACCAGGGCAACGAUCAGUAGGGGUUCUGAGAGGAAGGUCCCCCACAUUGGAACUGAGACACGGACCAAACUCCUACGGGAGGCAGCAGUGAGGAAUAUUGGUCAAUGGGCGAGAGCCUGAACCAGCCAAGUAGCGUGCAGGAUGACGGCCCUAUGGGUUGUAAACUGCUUUUAGAAGGGAAUAAAGUGGGUCUCGUGAGACUUUUUGCAUGUACCUUAUGAAUAAGGACCGGCUAAUUCCGUG
rnacentral:rRNA from 1 species